CAGUAGAAAGGUGGCACCCUGGAAUGACAUGGCUGGGACCUGCACUGCAUUCUGCAUUGCAAGGCAACCUCAUUAAUUCUUGUGGCUUGAUACAUGCUGGGGGAGACAGCACUCAAAUCAAAGGUUGGUCAGGAUUAUUUCUGUGCAGAAAACUAAAAAGGUCAUCUGUGUAUUCAGGUAUGACACAAAGGCUGAGAAGCAGGACGUAUCCGUGAGUAACCAAUGUCUCAGUUCAGAAAGGCUGAGUGGGUGAGCCAUGGAUGUCAUUCCUGCUGAGAUUCUUUAUGUGAACAACUGAAGCCUGGCGCUCUCGCUAAUCCUGGCUCAGCACUGGGAGAUGGACGCCUGGAAGCCCGCCUACCAGCGGGUCCAGGAGAGACCCGACAGCAUAGGUUUCAUCACAGCGUCCUGACCGUCUGAGUCCGGGGCUCGGAUCGCCUGGCCUCGUCAUCCUG